CAACACUGCUGCCUUCUGGGCUGGUGUACUGGGCGAGCGGCUCCUUGGCCACCCCCAGCUCGUUACCUUUCGAAGUCCUGUAAUUGGAAUGAGUACACUUUAAAUCCUUUAAUGAGGAUCUAUUGGAGGGCAAGUCUGAUGCUAGCAGCCGCUGUAAUUCCAGCUCCAAUAGCGUAUAUUAAAGUUGCUGCAGUUAAAAAGCUCGUAGUUGGAUCUUGGGAUCGAGCUGGCGGUCAAACUGCGAUGUAACCACUGUAUUUGACGGUUCUAUUUGACUCUCAGAUUUGAA